CAAUAGCGUAUAUUAAAGCUGUUGCGGUUAAAAAGCUCGUAGUUGGAUUUCUGUCAAGGACAACUGGUCCGCCCUCCGGGUGAGCACAUAGUUUGGUCUUGGCAUCUUGCUGGAAACUGUUGCUGCGCUUGGUUGUGUGGUGCAGCUUUCAGCACUUUCACUUUGAGGAAAUUGGAGUGUUUCAAGCAGGCACAUGCCUUUGGACACAGUAGCAUGGAAUAAUUAGAUUGGGCUUUUGCUCCAACUUGUUGGUUCCUGGAGCUGAGGUGAGAAUCAAUGGGGAUUGUUGGGGGCAUCCGAAUUUAGCCGUCAGAGGUGAAAUUCUUGGAUCUGCUAAAGACGGACAACUGUGAAAGCGUUUGCCCAGGAUGUUUUCAUUGA
rnacentral:rRNA from 1 species